UACGGGGGGGGCAAGCGUUGUUCGGAAUUACUGGGCGUAAAGGGCUCGUAGGCGGCCAACUAAGUCAGACGUGAAAUCCCCAGGCUCAACCUGGGAACUGCGUCUGAUACUGGUUGGCUUGAAUCCGGGAGAGGGAUGCAGAAUUCCAGGUGUAGCGGUGAAAUGCGUAGAUAUCGGGAGGAACACCAGUGGCGAAGGCGACUUCCUGGCCUGUUCUUGACGCUGAGGCGCGAAAGCUAGGGGAGCAAACGGG
rnacentral:rRNA from 1 species